AACCAGCACCUCAAGUGGUCAGGAGGAUUAUUGGGCCUAAAGCAUCCGUAGCCGGCUCUGUAAGUUUUCGGUUAAAUCCAUAUGCUCAACGUAUGGGCUGCCGAAAAUACUGCAUAGCUAGGGAGUGGGAGAGGUAGACGGUACUCGGUAGGAAGGGGUAAAAUCCUUUGAUCUAUCGAUGACCACCUGUGGCGAAGGCGGUCUACCAGAACACGUUCGACGGUGAGGGAUGAAAGCUGGGGGAGCAAACCGG
rnacentral:rRNA from 1 species